rnacentral:rRNA from 1 species
GAUGAACGCUGGCGGCGUGCCUAAUACAUGCAAGUCGAACGCAUAGCGAAAGGUGCUUGCACCUUUCAAGUGAGUGGCGAACGGGUGAGUAACACGUGGACAACCUGCCUCAAGGCUGGGGAUAACAUUUGGAAACAGAUGCUAAUACCGAAUAAAACUUAGUGUCGCAUGACACAAAGUUAAAAGGCGCUUCGGCGUCACCUAGAGAUGGAUCCGCGGUGCAUUAGUUAGUUGGUGGGGUAAAGGCCUACCAAGACAAUGAUGCAUAGCCGAGUUGAGAGACUGAUCGGCCACAUUGGGACUGAGACACGGCCCAAACUCCUACGGGAGGCUGCAGUAGGGAACCUUCCACAAUGGGCGAAAGCCUGAUGGAGCAACGCCGCGUGUGUGAUGAAGGCUUUCGGGUCGUAAAGCACUGUUGUAUGGGAAGAACAGCUAGAAUAGGAAAUGAUUUUAGUUUGACGGUACCAUACCAGAAGGGGACGGCUAAAUACGUG